GGGCCUGCACUGGCUUCGACAGGGAUUCGGAAAUUAUGACAGCCAUCCGUGGUCCGGGACCACGUUAAAACUCGGAAAAAAAAUAAACGCUGAUAAUAGAUUACCAGCUGCUGCCUAAGGGCAGCUGUCAGCCCUAAGUAAUCCGCUGCUUAGGAACCUGGCAUCGACCAGGCGGAGAACUUUUCUUCCAAAGCUUUGAGGACGGAAAAGAUUUCAUGAAGCUACUGAAUCUGUAAAUCUGACAGUGGAUGUGCAGAGGAGGAAAUGUCAAAACACUUGUCUGUGAUGGGAGAGGUUGUAAUGGAUGGGUUUCUGGACACGGGUUCGACCCCCGUCAGGUCCACUA
rnacentral:tmRNA from 1 species